CCCUUAGAUGUUCUGGGCCGCACGCGUGCUACACUGAGUGGAUCAGCGGGUCAGGUUGCGCGAAAGUGUUUCCUAAUCUUGAAAUCCGCUCGUGAUGGGGAUUGACGGUUGCAAUUUUCCGUCAUGAACGAGGAAUGCCUUGUAAGCGCGGGUCAUCAUCCCGCGCUGAAUACGUCCCUGCCCUUUGUACACACCGCCCGUCGCUCCUACCGAUUGAGUGGUCCGGUGAGGCUUUGGGAUCUGAGCAAAAAGAGCGUUUCGCUCGUUUGGCUCGGAAAACUCAGUCGAACCUUAUCAUUUAGAGGAAGGAGAAGUCGUAACA
rnacentral:rRNA from 1 species